rnacentral:rRNA from 1 species
GUAGGUGGCAAGCGUUGUCCGGAAUUAUUGGGCGUAAAGCGCGCGCAGGUGGUUCUUUAAGUCUGAUGUGAAAGCCCCCGGGCUCAACCGGGGAGGGUCAUUGGAAACUGGGGAACUUGAGUGCAGGAGAGGAAAGUGGAAUUCCACGUGUAGCGGUGAAAUGCGUAGAUAUGUGGAGGAACACCAGUGGCGAAGGCGACUUUCUGGCCAGUAACUGACACUGAGGCGCGAAAGCGUGGGGAGCAAACAGGAUUAGAUACCCUGGUAGUCCACGCCGUAAACGAUGAGUGCUAAGUGUUGGGGGGUUUCCGCCCCUCAGUGCUGCAGCUAACGCAUUAAGCACUCCGCCUGGGGAGUACGGUCGCAAAGACUG